UACGUAGGGUGCAAGCGUUGUUCGGAUUCACUGGGCGUAAAGGGUGCGUAGGCGGUCGGGUAAGUCUGAUGUGAAAUCUCACAGCUUAACUGUGAAACUGCAUUGGAUACUAUCCGGCUCGAGGAAUGGAGGGGAGACUGGAAUACUUGGUGUAGCAGUGAAAUGCGUAGAUAUCAAGUGGAACACCAGUGGCGAAGGCGAGUCUCUGGACAUUUCCUGACGCUGAGGCACGAAAGCCAGGGGAGCAAACGGG
rnacentral:rRNA from 1 species